UAUUGGACAAUGGGCGAAAGCCUGAUCCAGCCAUGCCGCGUGUGUGAAGAAGGUCNUCNNAUUGUNANGCACUUUAAGUUGGGNNNNNGGGUUGUAGGUUAAUACCCUGCAAUUUUGACGUAACCAACAGAAUAAGCACCGGCUAACUUCGUGCCAGCAGCCGCGGUAAUACGAAGGGUGCAAGCGUUAAUCGGAAUUACUGGGCGUAAAGCGCGCGUAGGUGGUUCGUUAAGUUGGAAGUGAAAGCCCCGGGCUUAACCUGGGAAUUGCUUUCAAAACUGACGAGCUAGAGUCCGGUAGAGGGUAGUGGAAUUUCCUGUGUAGCGGUGAAAUGCGUAGAUAUAGGAAGGAACAUCAGUGGCGAAGGCGACUACCUGGACUGAUACUGACACUGAGGUGCGAAAGCGUGGGGAGCAAACA
rnacentral:rRNA from 1 species